AUUGAACGCUGGCGGCAGGCCUAACACAUGCAAGUCGAGCGGAUGAAGGGAGCUUGCUCCUGGAUUCAGCGGCGGACGGGUGAGUAAUGCCUAGGAAUCUGCCUGGUAGUGGGGGAUAACGUCCGGAAACGGGCGCUAAUACCGCAUACGUCCUGAGGGAGAAAGUGGGGGAUCUUCGGACCUCACGCUAUCAGAUGAGCCUAGGUCGGAUUAGCUAGUUGGCGGGGUAAAGGCCUACCAAGGCGACGAUCCGUAACUGGUCUGAGAGGAUGAUCAGUCACACUGGAACUGAGACACGGUCCAGACUCCUACGGGAGGCAGCAGUGGGGAAUAUUGGACAAUGGGCGAAAGCCUGAUCCAGCCAUGCCGCGUGUGUGAAGAAGGCCUUCGGAUUGUAAAGCACUUUAAGUUGGGAGGAAGGGCAGUAAGUUAAUACCUUGCUGUUUUGACGUUACCAACAGAAUAAGCACCGGCUAACUUCGUG
rnacentral:rRNA from 1 species